rnacentral:rRNA from 1 species
UCCAAGUGAAGCAGAGGACAGUGGCGGACGGGUGAGUAACGCGUGAGCAACCUGCCCUCCACAGGGGGAUAACGCACCGAAAGGUGCACUAAUACCGCAUAAGACCACGUUUCUGACAUGGGAAUGAGGUCAAAGGAGCAAUCCGGAUAAAGAUGGGCUCGCGUCCGAUUAGCUAGUUGGUGAGAUAACAGCCCACCAAGGCGACGAUCCAUAGCCGACCUGAGAGGGUGACCGGCCACAUUGGAACUGAGACACGGUCCAAACUCC